AGGAACGAGCAGUUCGGCAAACCUACAAAGGCCAUGAACAAAUACCAAAAAAGAUCAAGCAAGGACGAUCUAGUUAUGAGGGCGACACUCGAAUCAAUCACGAGAAUUGGAUAA
rnacentral:rRNA from 1 species